rnacentral:rRNA from 1 species
AACGAACGCUGGCGGCAGGCUUAACACAUGCAAGUCGAACGCACCUUUCGGGGUGAGUGGCAGACGGGUGAGUAACGCGUGGGAAUCUACCCUUCUAUACGGGAUAGCUCCGGGAAACUGGUAUUCAUACCGUUUACGUCCUGAGGGCGAAAGAUUUAUCGGGGUAGGAUGAGCCCGCGUUGGAUUCGCUCGUUGGAGGGGUAAAGGCCUACCACGGCGACGAUCCAUAGCUGGUCUAAGAGGAUGAUCCGCCACAUUGGGACUACGCCACGGCCCAAACUCCUACGGGAGGCAGCAGUGCGGAAUAUUGGACAACGGCCGCAAGCCUGAUCCAGCCAUGCCGCGUGAGUGAUGAAGGCCCUAGGGUUGUAAAGCUCUUUCAGCGUGGACGAUAAUGACGGUACCCACAGAAGAAGCCCCGGCUAACUUCGUG